rnacentral:piRNA from 1 species
UGAUGGUCAGAGGCACUCGGAAACAGGU